rnacentral:rRNA from 1 species
ACAGAGACUGCAAGCGUUAUUCGGAUUCACUGGGCGUAAAGGGUGCGCAGGCGGUCGGGUGUGUCCGCUGUGAAAACCCGAGGCUCAACCUCGGAACUGCGUCUGAAACUACUCGACUAGAGUACUGGAGGGGGUAACGGAAUUCCUGGUGUAGCGGUGAAAUGCGUAGAUAUCCGUAGGAACUCCGGUGGCGAAGGCGGCGUGCUGGAUCCCUUCUGACGCUGAGGCGCGAAAGCCAGGGGAGCAAACGGGA